CAAAAAUUAUACAAACCUGCCGCCCCUGCUUACACAGACAAAAAUUCUACUGAAGUCAAUGGGAGUUCUUCCUAUGCUGGAAUUCAGGUUUGGAUUAUGAAGGAAUUCUCAUAUGAAAGUCCAUCUGUCUUGUGGUGCAGAAGAGAUAAGGCAACGGCAAUAACAGCAUGGACGGAUGGCUUGCCCCCACUUGUUGAUCACCAUGUAGAGAGAAAAUGCUAAUCUCACAAGAAAAUCAUUGUACUAUAGCAACUUUGAACCCAGACAACACUGGAAACAUUGGAAUUCCCUGAGUACAGUGCAUGGGCUGUAUUCUCUGAAAGAAACAUUGAUUCUGAGGAAAGAAGAAGAAUCAGGAAGACAAUAGCUGUAUUUGGAAGACUCAAAAACAUCUCCCUCAAGACAAAACUGAAUGUAUACAAAGCAAUUGUUAUCACCAUCACAACAUACAGCAGUGAGACAUGGCAACUGACCAAGAAAUAUAUGCAAAAGCUGAAUGCAUCCAUCACAAAUGCCUGAGAAGAAUAUUGGGAACAACAUAGAGAUAGGAAGAUGAAAGAAGAAGUCAGAAAAAUGACUGGACAAGGCACUCUCUCACAAAUAAUCUACAAAAGAAGACAUCAGUGGCUGGGACAUGUGCUGAGAACGGAAAAAGAAUGCUUACCAAAUACUGCCCUGGAAUGGAAGCCAGAAAACACAAGAAGAAAGAGAGGAAGACCGUGAUAACAUGGAAACAAACAGUUCUGAACGACAUCAAGCACCUCAACAUGAAAUGGGAAGAUUUGGCGAGAAGGGCAGUUGAUAGGCAAGGAUGGCAAAUGCGGGUAGCCCAAUGUGCAGCAAAGCACAGGAUGGACUAAGGGCUAAUGUUUUAAAUAGUCUAUGCAAUGUUUUUAUGAGCCAUUUACAAUACUACUGCAGCGAUGCAUAAACACUGUACAAUUCAGUAAUGCACAACUAUAGAGCUGGCCCUUCUAAAGUUGCUAAUUACCCUCUUAAUAUGGCAAAAGGUGGCAGUUAGUUAGUAUGGGUAAAGGAAUUAAUUACAAUGGGGAAAAAUUAGGUGGGGGGAUGGGAAUGAUGUACUAUUAUUGCCUAAUGAGAUACUGUAGGUUGGUUUUCUUCUUUGGCAAAUCUGACUCUCAGAAGUCCAAAAGAACAGGGGGCCUACCAUCUCUCAACUAAACAACUCUGGCACAGCUGGCAGGAAACAGUUUCUUCUCCACUUUUCCAUCAAGGGGUUGGGGUUGUCUUCUACCCCAAGGAAAGCAAAAAGGGGUUGAACCCCUAUAAUCAUUCUCAGUUCCCUCCAACUCCUUGGCAGCAUGGCUUAUUCCAUCCUCAGCCACUGCUCCUAGAACUCCCCACAGGGAGCCACACUAUGGAGUAAGACCCAUGCAUUUGGGGUGAGGUAUGGUAGAGACAAAGUAGGGUGGAACAGCAGCUGUUCUCCUAACACUAGCCCUCUGAGCUUGGGCCUAUAUCCCAAAAAGAGCCCAGCCCGUGCAGAGAUCCUGUUGGAGGGGCUUCAGCAGGCCCAGGGGAAACAAGUAAAUGAUGCGGUGAAGAUGGCAUUGCCCUCUUCUGAGCCUUUCCCUCCCUAGCACCUGCCCAGGUCCAUAAGGAUUUUAUCCUUUCUGGUCACACAAGCAGAUAGGACAAUUGGGUCCACACUAUGGAAAUUUAGUUUGCACGGUGGGUUUUACUUCUAGAGUCCGGAACCAAUGCAUUUCUUUAUGAAUAUCAUAGUACAUUGUACUUAGCACAAUUUUAAAAAGUGUGGCAGUUGUGCACCACCCCUUCACUCAAACUUCAUUGGGUAUAGUAAUUAUGCCAUCAUAUUUUAUAACAUCAGGAUAUUAACACGUGAGCUGCACUACAAAGGUAUAUAUGAAGGCAACAUGGUAGCAGUAAUGCAUGUUUAAUGCAGUGUUACCAUUUAGUUAUACAAACUACAGUAACUUGCCUUUAGUCAUUAUGGUCCCCAAUCAUGCUUUUCUUGCCCACCCCAAACUCCCACAGACGUCAGUGGGAGUUUUGGAAACUCAAGGAACACAGGACUGAGCCCCUUCUGUAAUAGAUCACCAGUGGUGUAAGAGCUUCAGAUGGAAAAAUUAAACAUUAUAAAGAAAAAAAAAUUUCUUUGGCUUCCUACAUUUUUUCCUUUCCCCAAGAAGU